rnacentral:rRNA from 1 species
UUAUGUGAUCGUCUCUCGCAUAUCAAUAAGCGGAGGAAAAGAAACUAACAAGGAUUCCCCUAGUAACGGCGAGUGAAGCGGGAAGAGCUCAAAUUUGAAAUCUUAAAGGGUUUCCCUUUACGAAUUGUAGUUUAAAGAAGUGUUUUCUGUUGAGGUUUUGGUAAAAGUUCUUUGGAAUAGGACAUCAUAGAGGGUGAGAAUCCCGUAUUUGACCUUUACUUUCAACUUUGUGAUACACUUUCAAAGAGUCGGAUUGUUUGGGAAUGCAGUCCAAAAUGGGUGGUAAAUUUCAUCUAAAGCUAAAUAUUGGCGAGAGACCGAUAGCGAACAAGUACCGUGAGGGAAAGAUGAAAAGAACUUUGAAAAGAGAGUUAAACAGUACGUGAAAUUGUCAAAAGGGAAGCGUUUGACACCAGUGUUGUUUUUCUGAAAAUCAAUUAAAGAACUGUUUAUGCUAAGCUGUUUAGACUUUAUCAGCUAACUGUUUAGUUUUGAGCUUUUCUUUAAUGCACUUUUCAGUUAACAAGUCAACAUCAAUUUCUUUUGCUGUAAAAAAGCUUGAGGAAGGUGGCUUGAGAUUCGUCUUAAGUGUUUAUAGCCUCUUGCCUAUGCAGUCGGAGAGAUUGAGGUCUGCAGCGUAGAUCCUUCGGGGCUAAAUGCAUUUGUGCUAAGUUAUAGCAUUUUAUAGACAACUUGUUGACUAUGAUUUGUCUUGUAGCUUACUCGCUUAUGUUAUUUUACCUACGCUUAGGAUGUUGAGUAGCGACAUACGCAC